rnacentral:rRNA from 1 species
AGUGAACGCUGGCGGUAGGCCUAACACAUGCAAGUCGAACGGCAGCACAGUAAGAGCUUGCUCUUACGGGUGGCGAGUGGCGGACGGGUGAGGAAUACAUCGGAAUCUACUUUUUCGUGGGGGAUAACGUAGGGAAGCUUACGCUAAUACCGCAUACGACCUACGGGUGAAAGCAGGGGAUCUUCGGACCUUGCGCGAUUGCAUGAGCCGAUGUCGGAUUAGCUAGUUUGCGGGGUAAAGGCCCACCAAGGCGACGAUCCGUAGCUGGUCUGAGAGGAUGAUCAGCGACACGGGAACUGAGACACGGUACAGACUCCUACGGGAGGCAGAAGUGGGGAAUAUUGGAAAAUGGGCGCAAGCCUGAUCCAGCCAUACCGCGUGGGUGAAGAAGGCCUUCGGGUUGUAAAGCCCUUUUGUUGGGAAAGAAAAGCAGCAGGUUAAUACCCCGCUGUUCUGACGGUACCCAAAGAAUAAGCACCGGCUAACUUCGUG